rnacentral:rRNA from 1 species
GAUGAACGCUGACAGAAUGCUUAACACAUGCAAGUCUUUGGCGAAGCUGUGCUUGCACAGCCUAGCCAAGGCGGACGGGUGAGUAACGCGUAGGAACCUGCCCCGCAGUUAGGGAUAACAGACGGAAAAGACCGAUAAGAACUGGGAAAGGUAAGCGGAACUAAGGUCAGGCCGGUGGAAAGGGAUGGUGCAGGAGAGCCUUGCGUCCUAUUAGCUUGUUGGUGGGGUAACGGCCCACCAAGGCGAUGAUAGGUAGCCGGCCUGAGAGGGUGGACGGCCACAAGGGGACUGAGAUACGGCCCUUACUCCUACGGGAGGCAGCAGUGGGGAAUAUUGGACAAUGGGGGCAACCCUGAUCCAGCAAUUCUGUGUGCACGAUGAAGGUUUUCGGAUUGUAAAGUGCUUUCAGCAGGGAAGAAAAAAAUGACGGUACCUGCAGAAGAAGCGACGGCUAAAUACGUG